rnacentral:lncRNA from 1 species
AUGGGAGGGAGAGGCGGCUGUGGGAGCUGCAGUGGGGGAUGGGGCUGCGGAGGGGGUGGGGAGAGCGGCGCGAGGCCUGGCGAUCGGCGCAGCCCUUGUUGUGCCGCUCUGCGCCCGGCGGGGCCGCGCGGGGCUUUCGCUCGGUUUUUGUCCGCUCUGCGCGGGGCUGGGGAGCGCCAACGGGGCGGCGCGGAGCUCGGCGGGGCGCCGGGCCAAACCGACAGCGGGGCGUUCCGGGCCGAACUUCCCUCGCACCGUCCAGCGAGUCGCGGCGGGACGGGACCCAACGGCGGGGCGGGCGGGGCUGCGAGCGCCGACAGAAGCGGGGCUCCUCGCACACGGGGCGGCGGGCCGGGCCGAGGUGGGGGGGGAGGAGGAGGAGGUGGAGGAGGACGGCUCCGGGGCCGCUCACCUGCCGCCACGGGCCGCGUCCCGUCGGGCGGCGCCGAGCCGCGACCCCAGGCCCUCCACCUCGGGGCGGGGGAAAACUUUUCCCCAAACUUCGCCUUUUGCGGCCGCCCCGCUCCCGUCCGCCUGAGGAGGGGGAGGCGGCAACCCCCCCUCAGCGCCGCUCCCCCCGCGGCAGGGGGUGGGGGCGCAGUUCCCGGCUCCGCGCCGCGUUUUCCCGCUCACCCCUCCCUCGCGCACAGCGCCCUGCGCCGCCUCACUCCUCCGCUCCCGCGUAUCCCUCCGCCGCAGCCGGCGCUUUUUUUUCUAAUUUCCCCCCCCCCCCCCCCCCUCCACUUCCUCACUUUUUCCGCGCAAAUCCACGGGAUGAGAAGAAAGGAAAAACGCUUCUCUCCCCUCGCUUCUGCAAUAAUCUCCUGCGAGAGGAGAGCGGGACGGCGCUUUAUAGCGGUUGAGAGCAGAGAGGUGCCGGGACUACUUUGCGUUCCUGCCACGGCUUCGGCGCAAGGGGCGCGCUGUGCGAGAGCUGAGCGGUGCUGCGGCUCCCCUCAGCGCUUCCUGGAAACUCCCGCUCAGGAGGAGGGGGGGGGGAAGCGGCAGAGAAAGAGUCCCAGGCCGGCUGCGGGCGGGGGGGGCGGUCCCUCCUCACCGCCGCCCCCGUGA